AGGUUGCAGGAAGGCAGCCAACCAGCCAGCAGUUGCUCCCUAGGUAGAGGGAGGAGAGUGAUAAGGAAGAUGUGCUAGAAAGCAGUUCAGGGAAGGAGCAGGAGGCUGAGAGGACUGCCCAGAACUGCUGAGCUGAAGGUCACUGGACUGGAACCUGGAAUAGAGGGCAGACCUGGGUUCCCUUACCAGCCAUUGAGAGUGGUACCAUGGGACAGUGAGAUUGCCUAAGACUGCUAAGGAAAAGGGACUUUGCGAUGCUGGAAAGGGGAACACUGAGUGACCCAGCUGGAGAGCUGAGUCAUGAAGAGGAUGCUGUGGUUCCUGGAAUGCCAGAGGUGCUGCAGACCUCAGGGAGAGACAGAGCGAUGGUCUGGGAUGUCUCUAUCUAUUUUGCCACCCCAAGCAUGGCAGUCAGGCAGCUUUCGGCGGCACGCCUGCGGGAGGUCCGCCCAUCCCGCGACUUCAGCCUACCUGCCACCGAAGCCACAGAACUGGUGGACCUCCCGCAGGCAUGCUGCCAAAGGCAGCCUGACUGCCACCCUCACAGCGACCGGCAGUCCGCCCCCGCGGCUUGCCACCCCAGGCAUGCCCUUGGUGCGCUGGUGCCUGGAGCUGCCCCUGGCAAUGGUGUACAAACCACAGAACGGGGCGGGUGUGUGUGUGUAAACCUCAAGAGUUAGUGACCAGCGGAAGGACCCCGUCACAGGCCCUUCUUGACUUACUGUGACUUUUCAAUGCCUGAACACUUCAGUCACUUACAAUGUCCUUGAAACUCCAUUAUUGGUUGCUUAUUAUUCAAUGAGUGAUAGAGCUUUUUACUUACAUCAGCUUCACUCACCUCAUUUUAAGCCUAUAUAGAAUUUUCAAACAAAGAAACCAAGGAGACCUCACUUCUUUGUUACUCUACUGUAAAUCUAGAAUGAUUUAAUACUGGACACCCAUUCAGAUGCUUGUACCUGCUGAGGUGAUACCAUUUCCUGUACUGACAACAUGUUCUGCAAAGUGACGCCUCUAACUGUCUGAUCUCCCAACUUAUACACCCUUCUAGCAAAUAAAAUCCUUGAGGCAAAGGCUAUUAUCCUAAUAGGUGUGCUUGAGGCUCCUUACCUCAUGGUCAAUAAUGUCCUACAGCUCCCUUGAGCAUGGGAAAUGGAACAAUUUCAUAUUCCUCCUGAGUGGAUAAUUCAUAAUUCUCAUGUUCACUUCUCUCUGGUCACUGGAAGUACGUAAACAGAUCAGUGUUCCCACCUUCAUUAUUUUCCUAGCACUUGCUGCAUACAGGAUAACGUAGUAGUAAGUGUCAUUCUCCGCCUUCUUGUGUUUCAGCUGUCUACCAGAAAACACUUUCCAUUUAUUAUGGCCACAUUAUUGAGCAGAUGGAAAAUCAUUUUUAUAACAUGGUAGAACAAAUUAUUGCACAGGAGGGGGUUAAUGAAAUUGUCUGCCAGAGGAGUAAUAAUUGAGGGGACAGAGUUCUGGUUAUUAGAUUGAAUAGAGA